UAAAAUAAUUUCAGCAAUACUAAACCAGCCUGUAGUUGGAUUAUCUUAUGCACAAAUUAAUCUAUCAAGCUAAAUAAUCUGUACAAUCCAAUAAAAGACCAAAGUGAGUCUUCUCUUGAGCCAUUGACUCUGCUACCUCUCUCCCUCUCUCCCCCCUAGACAACGCAAAACAGAGUAAGGCAAGGCAAAAAGGAAGGAAAAGAAAAGCCCUACAGCCCAACAGAAGAAGAAGAAGCUGAUUCGGCGUCAACCACUGGCCAUGGCGGCGGCAUCCAGGUUCUUCUUCACUCUAACCCUAACCCUAAGCGUAUGCCUCCUUCCGCUGGUGUAUGCCAACUCCGAAGGCGACGCUUUGUACACGUUCCGGCGGAGCUUGUCGGAUCCCGAUAACCUGCUCCAGAGCUGGGAUCCUACCCUCGUCAACCCUUGCACUUGGUUUCACAUCACCUGCAACCAGGACAAUCGCGUUACCCGAGUGGAUUUAGGUAAUUCAAACCUCUCUGGACAUUUGGUACCUGAACUAGGAAAGCUUGAGCAUCUUCAAUAUCUGGAGCUUUACAAAAAUAACAUUCAAGGAACUAUUCCAGCUGAGCUUGGUAACCUGAAGAGCCUCAUUAGCUUGGACUUAUAUAACAACAACAUAUCGGGGACCAUUCCUCCGUCGUUGGGGAAAUUGAAAUCACUUGUGUUUUUGCGUCUCAAUGACAAUAGGUUAACUGGGCCAAUCCCCAGGGAUCUUACGGGUAUUUCAAGCCUCAAAGUUGUGGAUGUAUCAAACAAUAAUUUAUGUGGGACGAUUCCUACCAGUGGACCAUUUGAGCACAUCCCCUUGAACAAGAAGUUUAAACAAUUUAUUUCUUAGCGUUUGGUACGGUCAAGAGCAAGUUGAGUUUCAAUGCGAAGGAAACAUAGCUUUGAGAACAACCAUCGACUCGAAGGUCCAGAAUUGUUGGGGCUUGCAAGUUACGAUACAAACUGCUCGUAAAGAAGAUGGAAUCUUGACUCUUUGAAUUAGAUAUCUACGUUAUAAAAGUGUGUCGUCGUCAGAAUAUAGGGGUUGGUUAUAAACUAUAUUCCUCAUAUAAAGAAUAUUUGUAAAUUUGGUGAUACUAAAUGGCAUCGACACACUUGUAACUGUAUCGUUGCGGUCGUGGUAAUACGUUGAAGACAUGAUUUGCGUUGGUUUAGUAGCAGUAAAAGUUUUAUGGUAAUCUUCCCCUUUAUUCUUA